AUUGAACGCUGGCGGCAUGCUUUACACAUGCAAGUCGAACGGUAACAGGCCGCAAGGUGCUGACGAGUGGCGAACGGGUGAGUAAUGCAUCGGAACGUGCCCAGUCGUGGGGGAUAACGCAGCGAAAGCUGCGCUAAUACCGCAUACGAUCUAUGGAUGAAAGCGGGGGACCGUAAGGCCUCGCGCGAUUGGAGCGGCCGAUGUCAGAUUAGGUAGUUGGUGGGGUAAAGGCUCACCAAGCCAACGAUCUGUAGCUGGUCUGAGAGGACGACCAGCAACACUGGGAAUGAGACACGGCCCAGACUCCUACGGGAGGCAGCAGUGGGGAAUUUUGGACAAUGGGCGCAAGCCUGAUCCAGCAAUGCCGCGUGCAGGAAGAAGGCCUUCGGGUUGUAAACUGCUUUUGUACGGAACGAAACGGUCCUGGUUAAUACCCGGGGCUAAUGACGGUACCGUAAGAAUAAGCACCGGCUAACUACGUGCCAGCCGCCGCAGUAAAAC
rnacentral:rRNA from 1 species